rnacentral:lncRNA from 1 species
ACUGCAUAUGUGGGUGUAGCUCCAACCAUCACACAGGCAGGAAAGAGGUGGCCACUCUUAAUUUUGAGAAAGCAAACGUUCCCUCUCACCACAUUCCACUGUAGCUAGCACUUUGCUCACAGCUGGUGACACGGUAAAGGGGGGGGGGAUGGGGCCUUUAACCUGUCUCAGUCUUAUGUGGCUGCCUGGGGAGUGGGGGUGGGGGGCUAACACUUCGAGGUCCACCUAGAGGAAGGGAUAGCCCUGUGCAAGCAGCUGGGGUAGUCUUUCUGAAACACUCAACUCCAGCAACACUCUGUUACCUCCUCCACAAGACGAGGGGCUGUCAAGAUAGUGCCUUUCUUCCUCUCAUUCAGCCUGGCAUCCUGAGGUUCUGGAGACAUUUCCUGCAGCCCAGUGGCCUGCUGUACCUUCAGGUACACAGGGUUAUGUAGGAUGGGCUGUAUCCCCAAUGCUCCAGCUGCUGGGAGACAGGGUCCUGGAGCUGGACCCAGGGAACAUUGGGUACCCGGGACCUAACUUUAUCCUUAUCUCACAGCCCGAACUUCUAGUGUGUGCCCUGUUCCCUUUAGGUAAACAAGAGGUAACAGGAGAGGUCAGGGGGUAAGUGACAUGCUAGUGUCCAGUGUAGGCCUGUUGGCAGUAGGCAGGAGCAACCAUGCAUGGCAUUGUUGCCACUUUGACUCUUCCAAACCCGCUGUCUGUUCUUCCCCCACCCCCCGGGGUGGUUGGCCCUGGGGGAGGCAGGG